GCUCGAAAGUAUGGGUAGCAAACAGGAUUAGAUACCCUGGUAGUCCAUACCGUAAACGAUGAAUGCUAAGUGUUGGAGGGUUUCCGCCCUUCAGUGCUGCAGCUAACGCAUUAAGCAUUCCGCCUGGGGAGUACGGCCGCAAGGCUGAAACUCAAAGGAAUUGACGGGGGCCCGCACAAGCGGUGGAGCAUGUGGUUUAAUUCGAAGCUACGCGAAGAACCUUACCAGGUCUUGACAUACUAUGCAAAUCUAAGAGAUUAGACGUUCCCUUCGGGGACAUGGAUACAGGUGGUGCAUGGUUGUCGUCAGCUCGUGUCGUGAGAUGUUGGGUUAAGUCCCGCAACGAGCGCAACCCUUAUUAUCAGUUGCCAGCAUUAAGUUGGGCACUCUGGUGAGACUGCCGGUGACAAACCGGAGGAAGGUGGGGAUGACGUCAAAUCAUCAUGCCCCUUAUGACCUGGGCUACACACGUGCUACAAUGGAUGGUACAACGAGUUGCGAACUCGCGAGAGUAAGCUAAUCUCUUAAAGCCAUUCUCAGUUCGGAUUGUAGGCUGCAACUCGCCUACAUGAAGUCGGAAUCGCUAGUAAUCGCGGAUCAGCAUGCCGCGGUGAAUACGUUCCCGGGCCUUGUACACACCGCCCGUCACACCAUGAGAGUUUGUAACACCCAAAGUCGGUGGAGUAACCUUUUAGGAACCAGCCGCCUAAGGUGGGACAGAUGAUUAGGG
rnacentral:rRNA from 1 species